AGCUUUGCACAGUGGCAGUAUCGUAACCUAUAAGGUUUAUCCGAGGCGCAAUUAUUGCUAAUUGAAAACAUAAGAAUCAGUUGCAAUUGUGAGAUAAAAAGUCAUUUACCUUUUUUAUGAUACUUGUUUCCACCA